GAUUCCUUCACUUUGACAGUUGCCCAGAAUUCCAGUGUACACUUCAUUUAUCCAUUGCCAUGGUUCUGAACAUUCCAGAUGUUUCCAGAUUUUUAUUAUUAUUAUUGCUUAUUUGAAAUGAUGCUGCAGUGAAAAUUCCUGUAGUUCUCUUUGAAUCGUAAAAUUUUCUAGUUGGGGACAGCUCGUACGACAUUCUGCAAACCGUAAAGAGUUGUUAUAUAUUUUUCUUCCGAUACUGAGUGUCUAAAUAUUUUAUUUGUGAAUCCAGGGGUUACAAGCAAAAUAUUUUCUCCCAUUCCAUCCUCUUGAAAAGAGGGGUCUCACAGAAGGAAGUCGAGCUCCUGUGGAUUGCACAGACCAGGUUUCAAUUACGAUUUGAUGCUGAUGAUGCUGAAGAAAUAAAAUAUCCAAACGCUAUGGUGUUGCAUAGAGAUUCCUAAGACUAAUUUCCUCCCUCACCGAGGUAGCGAAACCCAAACAUCACAUGUUAAAGGUAACUGCAGUAAAACGCGGUGUUCAUUUCUCUGGGAGCCGGUAAAUACUUACCUACAGCGCGUCAGGCCAAAGGCCCCACGGGGCUCUCGUUCAGUAAGCACAGGUAUGUCAUGAAAGGAGAGUACUCCACUGAUAAGCCUCCCUCUCUCUGGAAAGCUUUUGGUCAUUUGCAGAUUUCUCUUCAUCUACCUGGGCCCCUCUGCCUUGCCCUCGGGAUGUGGGAAGAAGGGAGAACCGACACGGACAUGAGACGCUCAUGCUGCUGCCAUGCCAUGGAUGAAAGAGUUUUUUUCUCUGAUCCAAGAGUUCCAGCAUCCAUGAUAUCAUGGCAGACUAACUCAAAAGUAGAGGGAAAUCUCAGAUACUUCACAAUUAUUAACACUUACUUAUUUUUAAGAUCUCAAUAUAUAUUAUUCCAUCAGGAAUUUAUUUCUGAGUAAUGAGUGAGUUAGGGACUUACCUUUAUUUCCCCCUUUUAGAUGGCCAUCAAUUAUUUUAAUGCCACUUAUUAAUAAUUCUUCUUUGCCAUAAUUAAUCUUAAAUACUAUUUUACAUAUACUAAAUUCUCAUAUUUGAGUCUAUUUCUGGAUUCUGUUCACUUGAUAUGUCAAAUUUACUGUCAGUAACCAGCUGUUUUAAUCACCAAGGUUUGAUAAAACGUUUUAAUAUCUGGGCAUUCUUUCUGUGUAACUUUUAUGUGGCUUGACUAUUUCCCUCCCAAAAAUCCAGUGGUAUUUUCAUUGAAAUCCAUUUGUGUUCAUCAAUAUCUGGUUCUCUUCUGAGUCCUGCACAUAUGGAAGGCUAUACUUAGUCUCCUUGCAGUUAGGUGGGGUCAUGUGAUUAGUCUUGCCAAUAGCCCAGUGUCAUGUCAUAUUUCCGGGCCAAAACAUUUAAUUUUUGGUAUGUGACUUGCCCUCCCUUUUCCUGCCACAGUUUAGGAGGAUAGUGCUUUUGCCAGAUGGUGGAGCUACAGGAUGGCAGAGCUGCAGAGAGCUUAGGUUCCUGAGGAACUCUGAGGGCAGAGCCUCCCACCAGCCCACAAUGGUCACACAGCAGGAUUCAGAAAUAAAUUUGGUUGUGCUAAGACAUGGGGAUUUCGGGAUUAAUUUGUAACUGCAGCAAACCUAAGCUGUUUUGACUAAUAUAACCAUUACAUGUAUAGAAUAAUUUAAGGGAGAACUGCUAUAUUUAUAAUAGUAAGACUUCCUAUCUAUUAAUAGGAAAUGUCUGUAUAAUAAUUAGAUGUUUUCUUUUAUAUCCAUCAGUUUUAAAGAUUUCUCCAUAUUUCUUAUUAGAUAUAUUUCUAAUUAUUAUAUAUUUCUAUGGCAAUUAUAAAUGGAAUCUUCCAUAAUAUUUUAUCUUUUCCUCACAAUGAAAGUAGUUUUAAAAAAAUUAUAUAAAUAAUUCUUGCCCAUUGCAAAAAUUUUUUUGAAAAUAAUCCAUAAAGGCAUAAAGCAAGAAAGUAAAAAAUCACUUGAAAUCUCAACACAACAUGUUAAUCUUUAUUAAUAUUUUGGUGAUCAUACUUUUUUAUAUUUACCCACAUGCAUGACAUUACAUUUUCGAACAUAAUUUGUAUACAGGAAAGCUACUUCUUUUAAUAUAUUAAGGUUGUAACAGACACUUUAUUGAAUUCUUUUUGUUUCUAAUGGUUUUUCAAUUUGAUUCUCUUGAGUUCUCUGGGCAUACAAUUGCAUAAUAAGCAAAUAAAGACAACUG